rnacentral:rRNA from 1 species
GACGUAGGGUGCAAGCGUUGUCCGGAUUUACUGGGCGUAAAGAGCGCGUAGGCGGUCUGUUAAGUGUAGAGUGAAAUCUCCAGGGCUCAACCCGGAAACUGCUCUGCAUACUGGCAGACUUGAGGGUCGAAGAGGUUUAUGGAAUUCCUGGUGUAGCGGUGAAAUGCGUAGAUAUCAGGAGGAACACCGGUGGCGAAGGCGGUUCUCUGGGCCUGUACUGACGCUGAGGAGCGAAAGCGUGGGGAGCGAACAGG